rnacentral:rRNA from 1 species
AUUGAACGCUGGCGGAAUGCUUUACACAUGCAAGUCGAACGGUAGAGGGGGCAACCCCUCGAGAGUGGCGAACGGGUGAGUAAUAUAUCGGAACGUGCCCAGUCGUGGGGGAUAACGUAGCGAAAGUUACGCUAAUACCGCAUACGAUCUAAGGAUGAAAGCGGGGGAUCGCAAGACCUCGCGCGAUUGGAGCGGCCGAUAUCAGAUUAGGUAGUUGGUGGGGUAAAGGCUCACCAAGCCAACGAUCUGUAGCUGGUCUGAGAGGACGACCAGCCACACUGGAAAUGAGACACGGUCCAGACUCCUACGGGAGGCAGCAGUGGGGAAUUUUGGACAAUGGACGCAAGUCUGAUCCAGCCAUUCCGCGUGCAGGAUGAAGGCCCUCGGGUUGUAAACUGCUUUUGUACGGAACAAAAGGUCUCUCUUAAUACGGGGGACUCAUGACGGUACCGUAAGAAUAAGCACCGGCUAACUACGUGCCAGCCGCCGCGGUAAAAC